AGUGAACGCUGGCGGUAGGCCUAACACAUGCAAGUCGAACGGCAGCACAGUAAGAGCUUGCUCUUACGGGUGGCGAGUGGCGGACGGGUGAGGAAUACAUCGGAAUCUACUUUUUCGUGGGGGAUAACGUAGGGAAACUUACGCUAAUACCGCAUACGACCUACGGGUGAAAGCAGGGGAUCUUCGGACCUUGCGCGAUUGAAUGAGCCGAUGUCGGAUUAGCUAGUUGGCGGGGUAAAGGCCCACCAAGGCGACGAUCCGUAGCUGGUCUGAGAGGAUGAUCAGCCACACUGGAACUGAGACACGGUCCAGACUCCUACGGGAGGCAGCAGUGGGGAAUAUUGGACAGUGGGCGCAAGCCUGAUCCAGCCAUACUGCGUGGGUGAAGAAGGCCUUCGGGUUGUAAAGCCCUUUUGUUGGGAAAGAAAAGCAGCAGGUUAAUACCCCGCUGUUCUGACGGUACCCAAAGAAUAAGCACCGGCUAACUUCGU
rnacentral:rRNA from 1 species